AUUCAAGCAUCCAAGCACUAGGACAAAAAGUAUCAAGCCAAGGCAAAGGCAACUACAUUACAUUAAAUAGGCUACAUCAACCAGACAAGAUAAUGUAUCAGGAUACAUCAACCAGUUAUGCUCCUCAAACAGGGAGCUUGUAGAAGACAUCACUACAACUAAUGCUCCAAGAGAUAUCCAGGCUAAUCACACAAUUCAUAGCAGCCAACUAUCUCACUCAGACAAAC
rnacentral:lncRNA from 1 species